rnacentral:rRNA from 1 species
AUUGAACGCUGGCGGCAGGCCUAACACAUGCAAGUCGAACGAGUGGCGGACGGGUGAGUAAUGUCUGGGAAACUGCCUGAUGGCGGGGGAUAACUACUGGAAACGGUAGCUCAUACCGCAUACCAUCAGAUGUGCCCAGAUGGGAUUAGCUUGUUGGUGGGGUAACGGCUCACCAAGGAGAAGAUCCCUAGCUGGUCUGAGAGGGUGACCAGCCAUCUUGGAACCUAGACACAGGCCCGACGUCUACGGGGGGUCGCAGGGGGGAAUAUUGCCACAUUGGGGCAAGCCUGAUUCAGCCAUGCCGCGUUUAAUAAGAAGGCCCGCGGGUUGUAAAGUUCUUUCAGCUGGGAGGCGUUAACCGCAGAAGAAGCACCUGCUAACUCCGUGCCAGCAGCCGCGGUAAUUC